AGAGUUUGAUCAUGGCUCAGGAUGAACGCUGGCGGCGUGCUUAACACAUGCAAGUCGAACGAAGCAUUUCGAACGGAUUACUUCGGUUUGAAGUUCUUUAUGACUGAGUGGCGGACGGGUGAGUAACGCGCGGGUAACCUGCCUUGUACUGGGGGAUAGCAGCUGGAAACGGCUGGUAAUACCGCAUAAGCGCACAAUGUUGCAUGAUAUGGUGUGAAAAACUCCGGUGGUAUAAGAU
rnacentral:rRNA from 1 species